rnacentral:rRNA from 1 species
CACGUAGGGCGCGAGCGUUGUCCGGAAUUAUUGGGCGUAAAGCGCUUGUAGGCGGCUUGUUAAGUUCCGUGUGAAAUCCCCAGGCUUAACCUGGGAAGUGCGCGGAAAACUGGCGAGCUUGAGUGCCGGAGAGGGUCGCGGAAUUCCCGGUGUAGAGGUGAAAUUCGUAGAUAUCGGGAGGAACACCAGUGGCGAAGGCGGCGACCUGGACGGACACUGACGCUGAGACGCGAAAGCGUGGGGAGCAAACAGG